GGACCUGACUGCUAUCGGAUUGAUACUAAGCCAUGCGAGUCAUUGUAGCAAUACAAGGCAUACGGCUCAGUAACGCGUAGUCAACCUAACCUAUGGACGGGAAUAACCUCGGGAAACUGAGAAUAAUGCCCGAUAGAACAUUAUGCCUGGAAUGGUUUAUGUUCCAAAUGAUUUAUCGCCGUAGGAUGGGACUGCGGCCUAUCAGUUUGUUGGUGAGGUAAUGGCCCACCAAGACUAUUACAGGUACGGGCUCUGAGAGGAGUAGCCCGGAGAUGGGUACUGAGACACGGACCCAGGCCCUAUGGGGCGCAGCAGGCGAGAAAACUUUGCAAUGUGCGAAAGCACGACAAGGUUAAUCCGAGUGGUUUCUGCUAAAGAAACCUUUUGUCAGUCCUAGAAACACUGAUGAAUAAGGGGUGGGCAAGUUCUGGUGU
rnacentral:rRNA from 1 species